GGGGAUGUAGCUGAAAUGGUUCUAGCGCCAGGUUGAAGCCCUGGAGAAGUAGGUUCGAUCCCUACCGUUCCCACCA
rnacentral:tRNA from 1 species